rnacentral:rRNA from 1 species
GACGGAGGAUGCAAGCGUUAUCCGGAAUGAUUGGGCGUAAAGCGUCCGCAGGUGGCAGUUCAAGUCUGCUGUCAAAGACCGGGGCUUAACUUCGGAAAGGCAGUGGAAACUGAACAGCUAGAGUAUGGUAGGGGCAGAGGGAAUUCCUGGUGUAGCGGUGAAAUGCGUAGAGAUCCGGAAGAACAUCGGUGGCGAAGGCGGCCUGCUGGGCAGUAGCUGACGCUGAGGCGCGACAGCGUGGGGAGCAAACAGG